GCUGAUUUAUCUAUUGACAAGUGUACUGAUUUUCUCUUUUGGCCGAUCAAGCUAGUUUGUGGUUUCCUCUAUGCUUUUUACUUCAGAUACUGUUCCUGUCUUGAUGAUUUUUACCAGCAUCUUAAACUUUGAAAAUAUCAAUCUGCAUACUUAUGGCAUGAAUGGAGGAACGGAAGUCCUUUUUUUAUUCAAGAAAAAUUUGUUUGUUUAAGAUGGUUAUAUUACUAUUUUGUAACAGAUUCACAAUGUUAGAGGAUGUUUGAACUGAAGGCUAUAAGGUCAAUGAAUGGAACAGUCUGAUAAUGCCCUACAAGUCGAUUAUAUUAUUUGUUUAUCAGUAAAUGAGAGCUUUAUUAAAAAUAGGCAUAACCAAGUACACGGGGCAUAUGAUUAUAUUAUUAUUCAAUUAAUGUGUUACUUACCUAUAAUAUAUAUAUGCUACUUGAUGUAUGGUGGUUGAUUGUUGCUAUUGCAAUAUAGAUUUCCAAUAGCUUGCUAUCUGGUUCUGUGGUGGUUGAAAUUCUAGUUGUGUUGGCUAAGUUUUUUGUUUUUACAAUUAUUUGUUAGGGUAUGUUUGGGGUUGCGGCAGAGUCUUAAAAAGUGCUUAAAUAGCCUUAAAAUCUCUUUAAUAGAAAAAUUAGGUUGUUUGGGUUUUACAUAUAUAUAUAUGUAUUUAUAAGUAAUAAGAAAUUUUAUUGAUGUAAAGAUAGGUGUAAGCCAGGUACACUGGAAGUAUACACAAAAAACACUGCUUUAAGAACUAGAAACUGUUACAAGGAAAUCAUGGAAGCUGAGACCAUUAAAAUCUAAAGCAAUGGCCCACAUAAAUAAAUAAAGUCUUCCAUAAAAAACUCCUAAACUCUUCAACAGAACGUUCAUGAUCCUCAAAAUUUCUAUAAUUUCUCUCUCUCCAGAUAUACCAAAAAAUACAAAUGGGAACCAUCUUCCACAAAGCUCUGAUCUGUGCUGUCCUUGAGAUCCCUCUCCAACUUCCAAGUAAUUCAACAACCCUUCCCAACAUUGUCCAUGGCCCCACCCUGCUAAAAAAAUGAUUCCAUGUAUCUCGGGCUAACUCACAAUGUAGGAGUAAAUGGUCCACUGAUUCCCCAUUUUUUUUGCACAUACAACACCAAUCCAUAAUUACAAGACCACAUCUUCUUAAGUUAUCAAUGGUUAGAAUCUUCCCAAAGGCUGUUGUCCAAAUAAAGAACGCAACCUUAGAAUGUGCUUUACUCCUCCAUAUGCUCUUCCAAGGAAAGUUGGGCAAAGGUUGGACUGUAAGCAUCUUAUAGAAAGAACCUACCGAGAGUUUCCCUUUCUUAGAAGGUCUCCAAACCAACUUAUCUUCAUCUGCAACUGCAGGAGGAACAUUAUGGAGCAGAUUAAAAAAUUUCACCAGCGCACUCACCUCCCAGUCAUGUGCCUCCCUAGUGAAAUUGAUGUUCCACUCUUGAAGUGUAGAUCCCCUCAAGUCUGCCACCAUCGCUUCUUUCUCUUGUGCUAUUCUGAAAAUGGUGGGGAAAGUAAUUUUAAGAGCCGUGUCACCCACCCAAACAUCAUGCCAAAAACUUAUCCUCUGGCCAUUCCCCAUACACAACCUGGUAUUGCUAGAAAGAAGCCCCCAUCCAUUCCUAGUAUGCUUCCAUAACCCCACACCAUAUGCCCCUCUCCCCUCAUUAGAGCACCAACCCCCCUUGCACAACCAUACUUCGCGUCGAUCACCCCUUUCCAUAAGGCUUCCUUUUCAAAGUUAUAGCGCCACAACCAUUUCCCUAAUAAGGCCUUAUUAAGAACCCUCACAUUGCAAACCCCCAAGCCACCAUCUCUCAAUGGUGUACACACCUUAUCCCACCCAACUAGAUGAAAUUUAAACUCAUCCCCUAGACCACUCCACAAAAAAUCACGUUGAAGUUUCUCAAUCUUAAAAGCAAUGCUAGCUGGAAGGGGAAAUAGAGACAAUAAAUAUGUGGGAAGGUUAGAUAAAGUACUCUUAAUAAGUGUGAUCCGUCCCCCUUGGAUAAAUACAACUUUUUCCACCCAGCUAGCCUACGUUCUAAUUUUUCCACCACCUCCGUCCAAAUUGUCUUAGCUUUAAUAGCGUUUUCUCUUGUGUAUCGAGUCUAGCUUUUUCUCUCCGUACACUUUGCGAAAACUCCUCAAUUCUGCUAAUUUGAUGGUGCAGUAGUCUUGCGUUGAGUCUAAUGGGCUUCACAAGAGAGUUUGUGAUAGAUUCAAAAUUAUUCAUACUUGUGAAGGAAGGAGGUCUGCUAUGUAUUAUAGAGAGAGGGUGAAAGAAAGAGCAUGAGCUACUGGUGGAAUCAAGCACAAUGUUGUGGCUUGGGAAAGCGCUGGAGGAAUGCUUGAGAGGGGAGAAGAGGGAGUUUAAUAGCACCACCAGAGAAGGCUAUUGUAGCUUUAUAGCAUAGAGGUGCUCGAAUAGCCAUGGCAUUACAUGGUAGUUGCAGAAUAUUGUGAGGGGGGAAGAAUAAGCUUUAUUUUCUUACUUGAAGGGGAGGGGGGGAGGGGAUGGAGUAGGCUGAGGGAGGCUUUGUGGGAGUGGAUGCAGGUAGGGAGAAACAGGGGAGGCUCUCUUGGAGGAGCCCAGCUGAGGCCGCAGAAGGAGGUGGAAAGGCCGUAUGUGCGGUCCUAUCAUGCCGGCGAUGGACCACCAUGAUUAGAGUGGGGGUGACGGUGGUGGUUGGUUCACUGACAGAAACAUGCGUUGAGCCCCUCUUGGUGUACGAAAUGUGGGCUCUGGCAAGGAGGCUAUCAGGUAGGCAGAGUGGGACGUGUGCAGGGUGUUGAUGGAGAUGCAGGGCCAAUUACGGAAAUUGCAGUUGGAGGUGGCAGAAAUCCUCUGCUAUGUUGGGUGUAAAAAGGAAGAAUACAGGGUUAAGGAGUUUAAAGGAAAGAGGCCGGGCUUAGAGCAGAGGCCCAUUAAGGCCCUUCCUGUGCAUUAUCGUAAGUCUAGGGGUGAGGGAUCAAAGGGUGGGCUUAGCAAAGGGAAUGGGCUUCAAGGAAGGUAAAAGGAAUGAAGGCAGAUCGCUUGGGCCGUGGUUGGGCCUCAGCCCACGGGUGAAAUGGGAAGGAAUGUUGGCAAGCAACCCAAGGAUGAUGGGCUUCAGCCCAGGGCCCAACAAAAGUGGAAAGAAUGCCCUUGGGCUUCUUCUAGCGGCGGCUCUAAUGCACAUCCACCAAAGACCACUCCGCGACGCUCGCGGACGGAGGUGGAACUGCCGGUGAGCACACAGAAAACGUCGACGACGACGGUGGAGCACUCCGAUGAUGGCCCGCACGUGGUGGGUGCACGUAAAUCGAUAGUAGAACACGUGACAGGCUCUUCGACACCUCUAGAUGGGGUUUCUCUAUCAUAUGGUGGCCAGACAGUGUCGAUGAGGUGCAAGGGUGCAAGUGUGACUCCGACGAACCUUCCAGUUCAGUUCCUUGAGGACUCUAAGCCGGGUGUGAAGGAUGGGGUGAGUUCAGAGGAUCUUUCACACUCUGAUAGUGAGGAACUGUUGACCCUUGAUGAAGACAAAUCCAAUCAAGCUCUUAUGGGUAAAUGGUUGUGGAGAUACCAACUUGAAAGGGAGGUCCUAUGGAAGUUGGUCAUAGACUCUAAAUUUGGAGAGGCUUGGGAGGUUGGUGCUCGAAUGAGGUAUGAGGCACACACAGAGUGGGGUUAUGGAAAUUUAUAAGGGGACAUUGGGAGACCUUUCAAGGACAUGAACAUAUUGUGGUGAGUGAUGGUUCUUGCGUCAGAUUUUGGUAUGAUAAAUCGUGUGGUGACCAUAGCUUUAAAGAUGCCUUUCCUGUUAUUUUCGAGCUUGCAAGGGAAAAUGAUGCAGUGAUUGCCAAUCUUUUGGUCCUUUCCAAUGGCCAACCUCAAUGGAAUAUUGACCUCAUUUGGGCAGCCCAAGAUUGGGAGGUGGAGAUUAUUUGAGUUUUUUGCGACAUUGUAUUCAGUAAAUAUGCUAGGGGAUAAGAUGCACUGGAGUCAUUCUAAGAAAGACAACUUCACUGUUAGAUCUAUUUACCAAGCUUUAACAAGUCUUGAACUGACCAAGUUCCUGUGGAAGAGUAUAUGGCAGACGAAAGCUCAUUCAGAAGCAGCUUUUUUUGUUUGGACAACAUCAUUGGACAAGAUUCUGACUACAGAUAAUUUGAGGAAGAACUGGGUAAUUGUGCUGGAUUGGUGUUGUAUGUGUAAGAAACAUGGAGAAUCAGUAGAUCAUUUGUUUCUACAUUGUGAGGUGGCCAGGGGCAUGUGGGAUGAUUUUUUUACGAGGGUCGGUUUGUCAUGGGUCAUGCCUCUUAGUUUGGUGGACAUCCUUGCAAGUUGGCGAGGCAUUCAAGGUAACUAACAAGUGGCGGCCAUUUGGCGUAUGAUUCCUAUUUGUAUGUGUUGGUGUAUCUGAAGGGAAAGAAAUGCAAGAAGCUUUGAAGAUUGUGAGAGAACAACAGGGGAACUAAAACUCUUCUUCUUUAAGUUAUUGCUUUUAUGGGCGGUAACAAUUGUUUGUAACGGUCUAAAUGAAGUUCUCCUAUUGAUUGUAAUUGUAAACCUUAGUUAUGUGUUUCUCUUGUAUACUACCUGUGUACUUGGGCUUUGCCUUUUUCUAUUUAUAAAAUUCUUAUGAUCACAUAUAAAAAAAAGGAAAUGCAAAAAUGUGUGGGGUUGGAGUGUGAAGGCUUCGAGGAACAGUUUAUGGCUUUGCUUACAACCAUUGAAGUGGGGCACCAACAACAAAGAGAAGCUGGAUAAAAAAACAGCGUGAGCUUAAAAGGUUGACGUGGUCGAUGAAUUCUGAGGGUAGUUCCAGCAGGUUCAGGUCAAAAGGGAAGGGGCUGGCCAUCUCCCAAUGAAACCCAAAAUAGUGUCGUGGAAUGUUCGUGGGCUCAACGAAACCAAUAAAUGUCUACAGAUAAGAAAUUUGCUUCGUGAGUGGAAGGCGGACAUUGUUUGUUUAUAGGAGAUUAAGAUGAAAUUGAUUAAUAGGAGAAUUGUGCGAAGUGUAUGGAGUUGUGUACAUGUGGAUUGGGUGUAUAUGGCUUCUAAUGGGGCGUCAGGAGGGGUAGUGGUGAUGUGGGAUAUACAGGUGGUGGAGAAAAUGGAGGAAUUCAUUGGGAUGUACUCGGUUGCAUGCUCUUUCAAGAGUGUGUACGAUAACUUUUUGUGGGCUUUUGCAGGUGUUGAUGUCCCAAACUUAGACAACAACAGAAUAUUAUUGUGGGAAGAAUUAGCGGGGGUUCAUAGCUGGUGGGACCUCUCUUGGUGUAUUGGGGGAGACUUUAAUGUCACAAGAUUUCCAAGCAAGUCUUCCAAAAAUAGAAGAGUGCGGCCAUCAAUGGUAGAGUUCUUGGAAUGUAUCUUUGAUUUGAACUUGGUGGAUUUGCCACUAGCUGGGGGUUUUGCCACGUGGUCUAACAAUCAGACAUGGUCUCGGUUGGACCGAUUCUUAAUAUCUCUAGAAUGGGAAAGUCACUUUUUGGAUGUUUGGCAAAAACGAAUGCCUUGUCUUUGUUAGGACCAUUGGCCUAUCAUGCUGGAUUGUGGUGAUCUCCGAAGAGGUCGAUGGUAUUUCAAAUUUGAAAACAUAUGGCUGAAAUCUGAAUGUUUUGUGGAGAGGGUUAGAUAGUGGGGGUCCUCAUAUAAGAUAUUGGGUACCCCUAGCUUCAUCUUUGCAGGUAAAUUGAAAGCUCUAAAAAACGAUUUGAAGCUUUGGAAUAUGCAAUCUUUCGGAGAUAUAGGGGAGAACAAGAAAAGCAAGAUGAGGGAGAUCCAGGAGUUAGAGAGGCUCCAAGAGGUUCUGUCUCUUACUCAGGAAGAACUAGCGCAGAAGACAAUGUUGGGUGCGAUCUUGAGAGGAUUAUCUUAUUAGAAGAGAUGUCUUGACGGCAAAAAUCAAGAGUUUUGUGGUUAAGGGAAGGAGAUUGAAGCACAAAGUUCUUUCAUAGAAUUGCAAACUCCCAUAGGAGAAACAACAACAUAGAGAUGCUGAAAAUUGACAGUGUCGAAUGUAGGGAAGAACAGGUAAUUCACGACCAUGUAGUUGGUUUCUAUGAGCAGCUACUAACUGAGCCGAGCCGAUGGGGCGGCGGCCUUCCCUUAAUGGUCUUGUGCUUGAUUCCAUUGGGCCGAGUAAUGUGUCUCGGAUGGAGAGGGCCUUUAAGGAGGUAGAGGUUUUUGAAGUAGUGAGGAAAAUGGUCAAGGACAAGACAUUGGGGCUUGAUUGUUUCUCUAUGAGCUUCUUUCAAGAAUGCUAGGAUGUCUUAAAGGAAGAUCUUAUGCAGGUGUUUUAGGAGCUUUUCUUGGCUGGAAAAUUUGAGAAAAGCUUUAACACCACUUUUCUUACAUUGAUAUACCAAAGAAGGUGGGGGCUAUGGAGGUUAAGGAGUUUCGGCCCAUUAGCUUAGUGAAUGAUGUAUACAAGAUAAUAUCCAAAGUGCUUGCGAACCGUUUAAGUGAGGUAGUGGGGAAAAUCAUUACAAAAUCCCAAAAUGCUUUUGUAAAAGGUAGGCAAAUUCUUGAUGCGGUUCUUAUUACUAAUAAAUAUCUUGACAGUAGAUUGAAGGCUGGCACAUCAGGGAUCAUUUGCAAGCUAGACAUGGAGAAGUUGUACGAUCAUGUUAACUGGGACUUCCUUUUCUACCUUCUUAGGAGGUGCGGUUUUGGAGAGAGGUGGCGGUCAUGGAUCUGUUGGUGCAUAUCAAUAGUGAAAUUCUCCGUGUUGAUAAAUGGUAGUGCAGCUGAUUUCUUCUAUAGCUCACGAGGCCUAAGAUAAGGAAAUCCAUUGUCGCCAUUGCUGUUUGUUAUUAUUAUGGAGGCGAUAAGCAGGAUGAUCUCGGUCUUGGUUAUUAAUGGCUUCGUGGAUGGAUUUUCAAUUGGAACCCGGAUGGAGAAUUAUUAAUAUUUCUCAUUUGUUGUUUGCAGAUGACAAUUAUUUUUUGUGAGUCUGAUCAAAAUCAGAUUCGAGCACUGAAGGCUCUGCUUCUUUGUUUUGAAGUUGCAUCCGGGUUAAAAGUGAACUUCGACAAAUCAGAGAUGGUACUAGUUGGAGAUGUUCCUUAUAUACAACAACUGGCUAGCACGUUGAGGGUGCAAGAUAGCCUUCCUUCCUUUGACUUACCUGGGACUUCCGUUGGGGGUAGCCGCGAAGGUGUUCUCUUUAUGGGAUACAGUGAUUGGGAAAGUAGAGCGGAGACCGGCGGGAUGGAAGAGAAUGUACUUGUCGAAAGGUGGUAGGAUUACCUUGAUCAAGAGUACAUUAUCUAACUUACCAACAUAUUUUUUAUCCCUCUUCCCUAUACCUGCAAGUGUGACAUUUCGAAUUGAGAAACUCCAACAUGACUUCUUGUGGGGCAAAGGGGGGAGGAGUUCAAAUUCCAUCUAGUUAAGUGGGAGAUGGUAUGUCGUCCUAUCUCUAACGGUGGUUUGAGUAUUAGAAAUAUGAGGACUUUUAAUCUGGCGUUACUUAGAAAAUGGUUGUUGAGAUACAAAAAGGAACCAGGAGCCUUAUGGAAGUUGGUGAUUGAGUGCAAAUAUGGAGGCUUAUGGGGGGAUGGUGUUCUAAAGAAGUUGGAAGAGCCUAUGGAUUGGGGUUGUGGAAACACAUAAGAAAAGGAUAGGGGGUCUUUACUCGAUAUACUCGACUUCUUUUGGGUGAGGGUUCCAGGAUUAAAUUCUUGAAAGAGAUUUGGUGUGGUGACAAUACUCUAAAGAUUUGUUUCCUUCACUAUUCCAAAUUGCAAGUGCCAAAGAUGUUUCAGUGGCAGAAGUCAUGGCGAUUUCGGGUGGGCAAAUCCAUUGGAUUAUCAAUUUUAGUCGGGCGGCACGAGAUUGGGAAAUGAGCAGCUUUGCUAUUUUUAUAGCCUUUUGUACUCCAUAAAACCAAGCAAUCAACAAGAAGAUGGGUUGUGGUGGAUACCCGCAGGGAAAGGUAGCCCAAUAGUCAGUUUCCUUGGAGAAAGCUUUGGAGACAUAAGGUGCCCCCCAAAGCUGCAUUUUUCGUGUGGACAACAUCGUUGGGUAAGAUCCUCACAACCGACAACUUGAGGAAACAGAGGGUAAUCAUAGUAGAUUGGUGUUGCAUGUGUAGAGGAGGGGACGAGUCGGUGGACCAUCUCCUACUACAUUGCGAGGCAACAAGGGUAUUAUGGAAUGAGGUGUUUAGUAGAUUAGAGAUGGAUUGGGUUAUGCCGGAGAUAGUGGUGGCAGCGCUGGCCAGCUAGACAAAUAUAAGAGGCAUGCAACAGAUUAAAGCGGUUUGGAAGAUGAUCUCUAUAUGUAUCAUGUGGUGUUUGUGGCAAGAGUGCAAUGAGCAGACGUUUGAAGACAAGGAAAGAUCUUUGGAGGAGCUUAAAGCUUUAUUUUACAGAAAUCUAUGUACUUGGGCCAUUGUUGUUGACUUCAAUGGCAUGGACCUACAUGAUUUUCUUGUCUCUAUUGCGCCUUCUUAGUUAGGGCAUCCAGUUGUUUUCUUCUUGUGUAUUGUGCUGGGCUAUGCCCAUUCAUUGAUCAAUAAAAUUUGUUUACUUAUAAAA